GAAAAAUCAACAGUUUAUCAAUAAAAAAAAAGAACAGAAACAUUUAAACUUACUUUUAGAAUGUUUUUAUUUGAUUUCCUAGCGAGCAACACCAACACAAAUGUCCAAUUUGAUCUCUGGCGUUGUUCAAAAUUCAUCUGACGUUGCAAUUUCAAUUGUGACGUCAAUCACGUGCAGCCCAUGUUCUAUUCAAAUUAGAACAUGGCUUUGUACCCAAAGCUAAAGAAGAACGUCAUAUUAGA
rnacentral:lncRNA from 1 species